UCAAACGAGGAAAGGCUUACGGUGGAUACCUAGGCACCCAGAGACGAGGAAGGGCGUAGUAAUUGACGAAAUGCUUCGGGGAGUUGAAAAUCAGCGUAGAUCUGAAGAUUCCCGAAUAAGUCAACCUUUCGAACUGCUGCUGAAUCCAUGGGCAGGCAAGAGAUAACUUGGCGAACUGAAACAUCUUAGUAGCCAGAGGAAAAGAAAGUAAAAGCGAUUCCUGUAGUAGCGGCGAGCGAAAUGGGAGCAGCCUAAACCAUGAAAACGGGGUUGUGGGAGAGCAAUACAAGCGUCGUGUUGCUAGGUGAAGCAGUGGAGUGAUGCACCCUAGAUGGCUAGAGUCCAGUAGCUGAAAGCAUCACUAGCUUACACUCUGACCCGAGUAGCAUGGGGCACGUGGAAUCCCGUGUGAAUAAGCAAGGACCACCUUGCAAGGCUAAAUACUCCUGGUGACCGAUAGCAAAGUAGUACCGUGAGGGAAAGGUUAAAAGAACCCCCAUCGGGGAGUGAAAUAGAACGUGAAAUCAUGAGCUCCCAAGCAGUGGGAGGAAAAUCUCUAACCGCGUGCCUGUUGAAGAAUGAGUCGGCGACUCAUAGGCAGUGGCUUGGUUAAGGGAACCCACCAGAGCCGUAGUGAAAGCGAGUCUUCAUAGGGCAAUUGUCACUGCUUAUGGACCCGAACCUGGGUGAUCUAUCCAUGACCAGGAUGAAGCUUGGGUGAAACUAAGUGGAGGUCCGAACCGACUGAUGUUGAAGAAUCAGCGGAUGAGUUAUGGUUAGGGGUGAAAUGCCACUCGAACCCAGAGCUGGCUGGUUCUCCCCGAAAUGCGUUGAGGUGCAGUAGUUGACUGGGCAUCUAAGGGUAAAGCACUGUUUCGGUGUGGGCUGCGAGAGCGGUACAAAAUCGAGACAAAGUCUGAAUACUAGAUAUGACCCCAAAAUAACAGGGGUCAAGGUCGGCCAGUGAGACGAUGGGGGAUAAGCUUCAUUGUCAGAGGGAAACAGCCCGGAUCACCAGCUAAGGCCCUUAAAUGAUCGCUCAGUGAUAAAGGAGGUAGGGGUGCAGAGAUAGCUAGGAGGUUUGCCUAGAAGCAGCCACCCUUGAAAGAGUGCGUAAUAGCUCACUAAUCGAGUGCUCUUGCGCCGAAGAUGAACGGGGCUAAGCGAUUUGCCGAAGCUUUGGGAUGUAAAAAUGCAUCGGUAGGGGAGCGUUCCGCUUAGAGGGAAGCUCCCGAGCGAGCAGGUGUGGACGAAGCGGAAGCGAGAAUGUCGGCUUGGGUAACGCAAACAUUGGUGAGAAUCCAAUGCCCCGAAAACCUAAGGGUUCCUUCGCAAGGUUCAUCCAUGGAGGGUGAAUCAGGGCCUAAGAUCAGGCCGAAAGGCGUAGUCGAUGGACAACAGGUGAAUAUUCCUGUACUACCCCUUGUUGGUCCCGAGGGACGGAGGAGGCUAGGUUAGCCGAAAGAUGGUUAUCGGUUCAAGGACACAAGGUGACCUUGCUUUUUCAGGGCAGGGUAAGAAGGGGUAGAGGAAAUGCCUCGAGCCAAUGUCCGAGUACCAGGCGCUACGGCGCUAAAGUCACCCAUGCCAUAAUCCCAAGAAAAGCUUGAACGACCUUCAACAAAAGGGUACCUGUACCCGAAACCGACACAGGUGGGUAGGUAGAGAAAACCUAGGGGCGCGAGACAACUCUCUCUAAGGAACUUGGCAAAACAGCCCUGCAACUUCGGGAGAAGGGGUGCCUCCUCACAAAGGGGGUUGCAGUGACCAGGCCGGGCGACUGUUUACCAAAAACAAAGGUCUCCACAAAUUCGUAAGACCAUGUAUGGGGGCUAACGCCUGCCCAGUACUGGAAGGUUAAGGAAGUUGGUGACCUGAUGACGGGGGAGCCGACGACCGAAGCCCCGGUGAACGGCGGUCGUAACUAUAACGGUCCUAAGGUAGCAAAAUUCCUUGUCGGGUAAGUUCCGACCCGCACGAAAGGCGUAACGAUCUAGGCACUGUCUCGGAGAGAGGCUCGGUGAAAUAGACAUGUCUGUGAAGAUGCAGACAACCUGCACUUGGACAGAAAGACCCUAUGAAGCUUUAUUGUUCCCUGGGAUUGGCUUUGGGUCUUUCCUGCGCAGCUUAGGUGGAGGGCGAAGAAGGCCUCCUUCCGGGGGGGGGCCGAGCCAUCAGUUAAAUACCACUCUGGAAGAGCUAGAAUUCUAACCUUGUGUCAGAACUUCUGCAAACCUCUUCCAAAUAUAACUAUAUCCAUUUAGGGUUCGUACAAGUUGCAGUUAAACCUCUAACUAGAUUAGGUUUACAAACCUCUUGUCUUGUAACACUAAGAGAUCGACGAUUCUUAGAAUUUAAUGAUUCUUUGGUCGGUAUGGUAGAGGCUACCCUUUCAGAUGGGCUAACCUAUUUCAUAUGCAUUCCAAAAUAUUCAUGUUUCUUUAAUAGAUAAACAUCUGUCUAAACCCAAGGGUUUAAAAUGUUACCUGGAAGUGAAAAUGUAACAGUAACCUAUAGGGUUUAUUGUAAACUAAUGAAAACUCUUGCCCCGGGAACAGCCUACCAAGACAGAGUUAAAGGAUUAACAACUCUUUUCAUGGCCAAUCUCAAUCAUAAUAUUGUCACACCAAAAAGAAUAAAAUGGGAUGAAGUAAAUAUUUCCAAAUGGCAUAUAGAAGACGCUCACGAGCAAACACCAAAAGAAAUCUCAGAACCAGAUCAUAUUCAAAUUAAUAAUGAUGGAUCUGUAGAUAUCCUCUU
rnacentral:rRNA from 1 species